GUUCUUGUUUCAGCAGCACAUAUACUAAUAUUGGAAUGAUAUAGAGAAGAUUGUCCCUGCACAAGGAUGAUAUGCAAAUUCAUGAAGCAUUCCAUAUUUUU
ensembl:snRNA U6 U6 spliceosomal RNA